AACGGCCGCGGUAUCCUAACCGUGCGAAGGUAGCGUAAUCACUUGUUCUUUAAAUGAGGACUAGUAUGAAUGGCACCACGAGGGUUAAGCUGUCUCCUUUUUCUAAUCAGUGAAACUAAUCUCCCCGUGAAGAAGCGGGGAUUAUACUAUAAGACGAGAAGACCCUAUGGAGCUUAAAACAAAUUAACACUUGCUUCUAUCCAUUUUUACUCCUGAACUAACACAUAAAAUAUAGCAUCGUUGAUUAAUAGUUUUCGAUUGGGGUGAUCAUGGAGUAAAAACCAACCUCCACGACGAAAAGGAACACUUCCCUGAGCUAAAAGCUACAACUUUAAGCACUAAAAAAUUAACGCACUUUGACCCAAAUUUUUGAGCAACGAACCAAGUUACCCUAGGGAUAACAGCGCAAUCCAUUUCAAGAGCCCCUAUCGACAAAUGGGUUUACGACCUCGAUGUUGGAUCAGGGUAUCCCAGUGGUGCAGCCGCUACUAAAGGUUCGUUUGUUCAACGAUUAAAACCCUACGUGAUCUGAGUUCAGACCGGAGAAAUCCAGGUCAGUUUCUAUCUAUAAAGGGCUUUUUCUAGUACGAAAGGACCGAAAAAGCAUGGCCAAUGAUCAAUUAAGCCAUAUAAAUUACUCAUGUUUUCAACUCAAUUAGAAACAAACCUACCAUAAACCUCAAAAAAAGAGAAGUUAACGUAGCAAAACCUGGCCCUGCAA
rnacentral:rRNA from 1 species